GCCUGUCUGGCUCAGUGGGUAGAGCAUGUGACUCUUGGUCUCAGGGUCAUGAGUUUGAGCCCCACGUUGGGUG
rnacentral:tRNA from 1 species